rnacentral:tRNA from 1 species
UGGUGGAGCAAGAGNUUCUUCCUUGA